GAAAGCAGGUCAUAGUGAUCCGGUGGUUCUGAAUGGAAGGGCCAUCGCUCAACGGAUAAAAGGUACUCCGGGGAUAACAGGCUGAUACCGCCCAAGAGUUCAUAUCGACGGCGGUGUUUGGCACCUCGAUGUCGGCUCAUCACAUCCUGGGGCUGAAGUAGGUCCCAAGGGUAUGGCUGUUCGCCAUUUAAAGUGGUACGCGAGCUGGGUUUAGAACGUCGUGAGACAGUUCGGUCCCUAUCUGCCGUGGGCGCUGGAGAACUGAGGGGGGCUGCUCCUAGUACGAGAGGACCGGAGUGGACGCAUCACUGGUGUUCGGGUUGUCAUGCCAAUGGCACUGCCCGGUAGCUAAAUGCGGAAGAGAUAAGUGCUGAAAGCAUCUAAGCACGAAACUUGCCCCGAGAUGAGUUCUCCCUGAGACUUAGAGUCUCCUGAAGGAACGUUGAAGACGACGACGUUGAUAGGCCGGGUGUGUAAGCGCAGCGAUGCGUUGAGCUAACCGGUACUAAUGAACCGUGAGGCUUAACCUUACA
rnacentral:rRNA from 1 species